rnacentral:lncRNA from 1 species
UCCUACUGAUUGGGCCCUGAGUCAAAGCCCUUGAAAAGGGGAUUAGGAAGGCCAAAAAGGUAGCGGUCGAAGCAAAAUGAAAACUCUUAAAAAUGAAGAAGGAAUAUGAGAAGGCUUUGGCAGAAAUAAACUACUUGAGGGCAUAUUCCAAGCAAACUCAUAUGGAACACCUCGUAGAGAGGUGCAAAUUGAUCGAAGAGUGCAAUAGGCUUGGUCAGGUGGCAAGCAAGGCU